rnacentral:snRNA from 1 species
AUGCUUACUUAGGCAGCAUGUAUACUAAAUUUGAAAUAAUACAGAGAAGCCUGGCAUGCCCCUUGCAUAAGGAUAAUAUGCAAAUUCAUGAAGCAUUCCAUAUUUCA